UGCAGUCGACGGUAACAGGGAGCUUGCUCCGCUGACGAGUGGCGAACGGGUGAGUAAUAUAUCGGAACGUGCCUGAUAGUGGGGGACAACUAGUCGAAAGAUUAGCUAAUACCGCAUACGCCCUACGGGGGAAAGGGGGGGGACUCGCAAGAGCCUCUCGCUAUCAGAGCGGCCGAUAUCUGAUUAGCUAGUUGGUGAGGUAAAGGCUCACCAAGGCUUCGAUCAGUAGCUGGUCUGAGAGGACGACCAGCCACACUGGGACUGAGACGCGGCCCAGACUCCUACGGGAGGCAGCAGUGGGGAAUUUUGGACAAUGGGCGCAAGCCUGAUCCAGCAAUGCCGCGUGAGUGAAGAAGGCCUUCGGGUUGUAAAGCUCUUUUGUCAGGGAAGAAACGGUUCUGGAUAAUACCUGGGGCUAAUGACGGUACCUGAAGAAUAAGCACCGGCUAACUACGUGCCAGCAGCCGCGGUAAUACGUAGGGUGCAAGCGUUAAUCGGAAUUACUGGGCGUAAAGCGUGCGCAGGCGGUUGUGUAAGACAGGUGUGAAAUCCCCGGGCUUAACCUGGGAAUGGCAUUUGUGACUGCACGGCUAGAGUGUGUCAGAGGGGGGUAGAAUUCCACGUGUAGCAGUGAAAUGCGUAGAGAUGUGGAGGAAUACCGAUGGCGAAGGCAGCCCCCUGGGAUAACACUGACGCUCAUGCACGAAAGCGUGGGGAGCAAACAGGAUUAGAUACCCUGGUAGUCCACGCCCUAAACGAUGUCUACUAGUUGUCGGGUCUUAAUUGACUUGGUAACGCAGCUAACGCGUGAAGUAGACCGCCUGGGGAGUACGGUCGCAAGAUUAAAACUCAAAGGAAUUGACGGGGACCCGCACAAGCGGNGGAUGAUGUGGAUUNNUUCGAUGCAACGCGAAAAACCUUACCUACCCUUGACA
rnacentral:rRNA from 1 species